rnacentral:lncRNA from 1 species
CUCCUGUAAGCACCAAAUUUCCUCUCUGCUUUUUUCCCAGUUCCUCUCAGCAGCAAGAGUUGACUGACUAUAAAAGUGGUUGCUUUAUGGAUUGGAAGAUUGUAUUAAUAUUUCCUCUUAUGCCCUCAGCCUUGUGCACAAAUGAUUAUUUUCUUCUUCAUCUUCUGCUUUACUGACUUUAGAUCUCCGCAAUUGGAAGGGACAGGACAGUGACUCACCUGGAAAUGGAGAGGACACAAGCACAGGGAAGAAGACCAUGAAUGGUACAGAAGGUCACAGUGUGUGGUCAGUCACCACCACUGCAGGAGCAAGAAGAAUCCUUUGAGGGCAGCCUUGCUGAUCCCUACAGCUGAAAGAGAAGGUACUAAAAGAGGACUUUGUGACCUGAUAAAGCAUCAUGCAACAGGCACUCUCGAGAGGAACUCCAGGCCUCCAGGCAUCAAACUUCAGAUGCUUCUGAUCUCUGUGUCAAAACUUUCACUAACACCAAGGACUCCCAGGUGCCCUUGUUAG